UUUUAUUUUUAUACGAUUAUACUCGUUAUUUUGACUACAAAAAAUGAAUUUGAGUUUGAUCGAACCAAUAACUUACGCGUAGUGAAUUUUUGAUGUAAUGGUUUUAUUUUCAAUUUUCUACUUGUAACUCUUGUAUGUUUAUUAUUUAUUUGAUUAAAACAAUGAGAGAAAGUUAUUUCAGCAUGAAAAAAUAA